GCAAAUGCCGUCGAAGGACGAUAGUCUUCUGCCGGCCGUUUCCUCGCAUUUUCAGCGCAGGCUAAGAAACACUAGGGUCUUCAGAAUUACGUAUCUAUGUAUUUUCUAGUAAAGUAACACACCACCUAUUACUGAAGUAUUGAUGUUGCGCCUCAGAUAUCAGUAAUAUUUGCUUUUUGAUCGAAAAUAUUCACAAGUAGGAACGCAGCUACCAGUUCAAGAUGGCUGGGCGUUCAGCAAGUGCUUAAACU
rnacentral:lncRNA from 1 species